CUGAGGAGUCCAGCGCUCGCCGACAGGGGCCUGGGCUGUCCCGAGCCGGGUCUCGCUCUGUUACUCAGGCUGGAGUGCAGUGGCACACUGCAGCCUCAACCUCCCGGGCUCAAGCGAUCCUCCAAUCUCAGCCUCCCAACUACUCUGGAGGCUGAGGCAGGAGAAUGGUGUGAACCCGGGAGGUGGAGCUUGCAGUGAGCCCAGAUCGCG
rnacentral:lncRNA from 10 species